UACAGAGGUCCCAAGCGUUGUUCGGAUUCACUGGGCGUAAAGGGUGCGUAGGCGGUCGGGGUAAGUCUGAUGUGAAAUCUCACAGCUUAACUGUGAAACUGCAUUGGAUACUAUCCGGCUCGAGGAAUGGAGGGGAGACUGGAAUACUUGGUGUAGCAGUGAAAUGCGUAGAUAUCCGGAGGAAUACCAAAGGCGAAAGGCAGUGUCCUGGCUGGCAUCUGACGCUGAGGCGCGAAAGCUAGGGGAGCGAACAGG
rnacentral:rRNA from 1 species